GGCAAACCAGGAUUUGGAAUGGAACAAACUUCAUCCAUUUAGUUGGUGCUGGUGGGUUGUCCUGGAGUGGAGUUGCUCUGUUUUAAAUUACUAUUGAAGACGGCUGCCACUGUUCAUAGCAGUACUUUAGGAAAGCUAUGUCAUGGGUCAGGCAGAUUCUUUGUGCAUUUGUUAAAAAGCAUUGACUUACCUGCCCACGCCACUGCAAUCAAUUAAAACUUCUAAAUCAUACAGACACUGUUUAAAAAAAGGUCAAAAGUACCAGCAAAAAUUCUGUGUAUUAUAACAACUACUUGGCGUCCUUCACGCAUCUUAGGCCUAAAUGUUUUGUAUGCAAUUUAAUGGUUCGGGUUACAAUUUUUGACUAUGUUGGGACAAGUCUUCCAUGAUGUGCUUUAGUGAUGUGAAGUGCAAGUGCUGUUUUAAUUUUUUUAAAAUCUUCCAAGGUUUGCUAACUCUUUGUGUAAUUAAUUUGCAAACACCAGUUAGAGUCUGACUGUUAACAUGUCUGAAUGUUUUGCAAUAGCACUGGGCUUUGGCCAACUUUGCUUUGUCAAUUCUUUCCAUUUUCCUCAAGCUGCUGCCUCUUGUUUUGGUAUUUUCCACAGGCCUUUCACAUGGUCUGAUAACUGCUUCAAGUGACCGGCCAGUUGUCAUGUGUAAGCCUUGACAAUGAAUAUUAGCAGGACUGUAGAGCCAGGACCGUCAAGCUCGAGCUUGUUACCAGGUUCACACAUUUGCACUCUCCAGCAGGAGUCAGGAGGUGGUAAUUCCAAUUGGAGUUCCAGUUCCUGACUUAUUUUUCCUCUUCACAACCCAGGACAUAGGGCUCCAACUACCACUCAAGCUGAGAUCAACUAAUUCAGCAUAUAAUAUCCUGCAACCUUCUGCGUGGCUGAGUGUUGGGUCCUAGUGUUGUUGUGAUUCACUAUGCCAUUACGGGAGCUCUAUUGGCCAACGUGUAACAGUAACUAUUGUACAUUGUUUUGCUAUUCAGAUAUCAUUGAGUAAAUAUUAAAUUAGCCACUUGAAUGCCGAUAUACCUUUGCAGCUUUCAAAGUAUAAAAUUCAAAAUUGAGAUCUAGUUUCAUAAAGCAUCUGCGAGAAUCCUACUCUUACUUCCAAUGAGAAAUGUUAUUCUACAAUAGGGUUAGAGAAACCUGCAUAAUCGUGGAGAAUUACUUAAGUCAGAAUAUUGGGAAAUGAUCAACAAGCAGCAAGUUUGACUUUGAUGGCGAAAUGCUACGGCAUUCCCCAAAAGCUUCUUAGAAACUCAACCCCAUACCUGGUGAUUUCUGUCUGUUUUAUGACAAAACAUAUGGAAGGAAAUGUGCUCAGUGCCAAUGCUAAUCUUCCUCAGUGAUGGUUUCUUUAAAUAAUGUGCACUGUUACAAAAGUGGCUUAUGAUCCUGCUAAACAUGUCAAUACUCCCAACAGCAGCAACUUUUGAUCAUGUGGUCCAGACCUGUGCAUGGCUUGGCAGAGCACUCUGUCAGCAGGAGAUUGCUUCAGAGAAUGCAUCACAUCUCCUAACAAUUUAGCAAAACUUUAUGUGGACUUUAUGCAGAUAUUGUACUGGUAUCAGCUUCAGUGUUCAAUACUAAUAUUCAAUCAGAUUUUAAAGGUGGCUUGCAACACAUUGGUGCUUCAAAGAUUCAAAUAUUGAUUAUGGCUUUAAUGUAUGUAUGUCUCAUACAACACUUUACUGCUGUCCCCUCAAUUCCUGUUUUCCAGCAUUCCCUCCACUUGACUCCCUGUCCUGAACAUAUUUCAGUCGUCUGGUUCUCACUCCCGCAGCUCUGAAUGUGCGGAAGCAAAGAAAUAAACAAGGAUUCAAAAUCCCAGCACACAGGCUAAUCAACACCCAUUGCAUCCAAAAAAUGUUUCAUUAAGAUUCACUGUCGGAUGAUACCAGUCUCUUUAUUCAUGCUGAAAAAAAAGCCGAAAAUCACAAGACCGAAAGCUGAUGCGUCCAUUUUGGGGGAAUUUUGUUUGAAUAUCAUACCGAAAAAAUGUAUCUUUUUGUAAAUUUUUAACACAUCUUCUGUUGUAACAUUUAUUUAUUUAUACUUUUUUCUACAGUGAUUUUUACAGGGAUUAUGAAUUGGUUUAAUGCAUUGUCAUAUCUCUGUAUUCAGUGCUCUUGUGAAUUGCAGACUUGUUCCUGAACUGCUUCUGUAAUGAGUGUCGUAAUGGACCAAAUACCACUAACAAGUCUGCUGUUGAUAUUUAUAAUGUAACCUCUUAAUAAACGGAAAGGACUGUCA